rnacentral:rRNA from 1 species
AUGAACGCUGGCGGCGUGCCUAAUACAUGCAAGUCGAGCGAACGGACGAGAAGCUUGCUUCUCUGAUGUUAGCGGCGGACGGGUGAGUAACACGUGGCUAACCUACCUAUAAGACUGGGAUAACUUCGGGAAACCGUAGCUAAUACCGGAUAAUAUUUUGAACCGCAUGGUUCAAAAGUGAAAGACGGUCUUGCUGUCACUUAUAGAUGGAUCCGCGCUGCAUUAGCUAGUUGGUAAGGUAACGGCUUACCAAGGCAACGAUGCAUAGCCGACCUGAGAGGGUGAUCGGCCACACUGGAACUGAGACACGGUCCAGACUCCUACGGGAGGCAGCAGUAGGGAAUCUUCCGCAAUGGGCGAAAGCCUGACGGAGCAACGCCGCGUGAGUGAUGAAGGUCUUCGGAUCGUAAAACUCUGUUAUUAGGGAAGAACAUAUGUGUAAGUAACUGUGCACAUCUUGACGGUACCUAAUCAGAAAGCCACGGCUAACUACGUG